ensembl:lncRNA
AUUUUUGUUUUUAAUUGGCCAGAUGCACUCAGGCAAUUUUUGCAGAGGCCGCUGUAGAAAGGACGCCUGAUUCGCCUCCCUCCGAACUUUCUGCAGGAGAAGGGACAUCCAGUAGUACUCAAGGGGCCAGUAACACACAGGCCAGGAACACACAGCCUGCAUCAGGUGAAGGUGAAGGGACAUCCAGGACCACAUCAAGCACUCAGGGCACCAGUGAAACUACACUGCCGCCUGCAGACACCUCACCCUCCACAAUUCCUGCUAUCCAGGGAGAACCUAUAGAUCCUGCUGACUGGCCAGCCCUCUGUGAUCCGGUAAGGACAGAGUUAGUUUGCAGAGGACCAUACCAGACCAGUCCAGACUUGAUGGGAGAUGAUGGGAGAAGCUGCCACCACAACCACUUCUACAGGAAAUUAGUAAAUGGGGA